AUGAAAAGGAAAAAGUACUAAUCCUACUUUCCUAAACCAAUAUUUGCAUGGAAGACCUUCUGUAGGAUAUGUGUGGGGCUAAUAGUAGUUCUAUGGACAAAUAAUAAUAGAAUAUAUGACCGUUGUGUGGUGGGCCUAGAAAAGCCCAUGUAGCCAAAAUCCAUGACCCUUUAGAGUCUCACCUGGCUAAAUAAGGGCUGUUUGCAGUCUUUUUACAAGCUGACUUUUUUUUUGCUCCUGGUCCUGCAUUAUUACCUCUAGAGUGAUGUAUUAGAGCACCUAAAUGAACUAGGAGCAAAGAAAAAUGUGCUUUUCUAAAAUUAAAUAAUCCAGUGGCAUCAAUACACACACAUGUCUCUCCUGGCUUUUUGUUCUAGUCAUACAUUUUGUCUGGUGAUUUUUGAUGCAUCAUUGCCUGUGCAGGGUCUGAUUGGGCAGUAUGCAGUGUAGGUACUAGAAGAGAAGUCUGUCUGGGGAACUGAUGCCCCAACAAGAAUUGCUUACAUGGACACACAGGAUAUAGCUUGAUUAACAUUCAUAGCUUUACGAAAUGAGAAAAUCAACAAGAAGCUUCUCACGUUUGCUGGGCCUCAUGCAUGGACAACCCAAGAGGUGAUAACAUUGUGUGAGAGACUUGCAGGACAAGAUGUGUAAAGAGACUGGGCCGAAUGGGUCCUAGUAUCUUCUCUUGUAAUAUCUUUUCUUUUAUUGUUGGCUAAUGAGCCUCUCUUAAUGGGUCUGUUAUUUCUUUUUGUUUAAUCUCUUUAUGUUACUGCCUAGCUGGCCGCCCACUUAAGGGCA